ensembl:lncRNA
GAGACCUCUGGAGGUCUAGACGAGUGUUGAAGGGCUAGCAGGACUUUGCUACAGCAAUAAGGACAUCAGGAGCUUGAUUAAUAUUCCCAUUCUGCAGACGAGAUUACUGGAUAUCAACAAAUAAGCAAAAUGCUAUGGAAAGAGCUGACCAAGAGCUUUUGGGGGUGGUAGGAACAGCAUAUGCUUCUGAGGGAAGGAAUUCACAGUGGUUUGGCGAGUGGAGCAAAGGAAAGAGGACCGAUAAGGUGGGCAAGCCCAUGCCACAUCUCCCUUCAGAUUGCCAGAGCAGCAGCUGCACAUAUUUGCCCCUUACCAGAUGGAGUGAAUGGACCCUAAGGGCCAAAGGGAGAGAUAAAGGGAAGGCCCUAGGACCAACAGAGAGAAACACAGGAAAGCUUAAUUCCUUUUUCCCAAUUCCUUUUUCCUUUUUCUAAUCAGUUUUCCACUUUCUUUCCUGGGAAGUUUGCAAAGUCCAUCAAAAACCUCAGGCUGGGAAAAAAAAGAAACCAACAUCCCUUCAUCCUGGAAUGCUCCUCAUGCACCUUAGUAAAUCCUCCCGGGCUGUGGGAGGCCGUCACAGAGCUACCGCCGGUGCCGCCACUCACUGCUCAGGCCGCACAGCCCUGAGCCCCCCCAUUCCUGUUGCCCUCUGCGUUGGUGGUAGAGUAUUCGUGUCCACUUCUCCCCACUCCUCCUCGUCCAUCAGUUCCGUGGGCAGGGCUCCACCUUCGGGAUCUCAGCUCUUCCCGCAGUCAGUCAUUCUGUUCCUUUACAGCAGUAGCUGCUAAACUUCAGUGUGAGAGGAGCCAAAUGCGGAUCCCUGGGCCCCAAGUCUGGAAAGCCUCACUUAGUGUAUGGGACAAAUGGCUAAUUUCCCCGGGUGAGUCAGGUAUGGGAAACACUAGCUCCAAAGCUUUUCCAGGGCAAGGACCAAACUGCUGUGACUCACUCACUCCCGCCCCCUCACCAGGUCUACAGCUGUCGAACACUGAGAGCUUGCGGCUUGUCAGGCUGGCAGCACCUUAAUCUCAAAAGUAUCAUCAACCCUCUUAUUAAACCAUUCCCAGUGUGCCCCAAAAGGACCAAAGAACCCUCUUUCUCCUGCUCCCACUUUAAUUCAGCUCCGUUCAGCAAAGAGGGCCCCGUGUGUAGUCGUGCAGGGAGCUGACUGUCCUGCCCUCCACUUGCUUGUGGUCAGGUCAGAGAAAGAAGCCUAGAGUGUAGCGCAGAACCUGAUGGGGCUUGUAAUUAGAAACAGUUAGGGAAGUGAAGGAGGAGCCCUGAAAUCCAUGCAGAUUUCUUGAAGGAAGUGGUAUUUGAUCUAAGCUUGGAAGACGGAGUUGGAAAAGGAGGGGAGAAGGGAGCCACAGGCCAAGGGUUCAGUAUGAUCAAUGGCUUAGAGGUAGAAAAUCCUUGGCCUGUUUAGGAACUGGCAGAGCAGGAGGAUAGAGUGUCCCCUGGUGAUGAUCCUGGGCCCAGCUGAGUCCCAGGGAGAUAGAGUAAGAACUGUGUUAGAGCAAUCUUACGGUCUGGCCCACUCAGCCACCUCUCCCAGGUGGCACCCAGGGGAACAGCGGAACUUCCUUCUGAGCUAUGCAAGGCCUCUUUCUUGAGCCCUCUGGCUGAGCAGAGGUCACUGCCACCUGCUUUUGUGUCUGCAUUAUGCCUACGGUCACUCCAAGAGUGAGCAUAUCGGGCUCCCUCUGGGUCCCACACCUCUGCUCUGCUUUUGUCACAGUCUUGUAGCAAUUUGUCCUCUUGCCUUUCUCUGAUGAGAGCAGGGACAGCAAUCCAUCUCUGCAACCGCAGAACAGCGUAGGACUUGCACAUAAGCUGGUCGUUUGAGAGUCUGAUGAGUGAAUAAAUGUGGCGAGGGAGAGCCUCUCUGGGCUGUUCCUCUGCAGCCUGUGACUCUAGCUCCUGCUUCCCUACAUGCGAGCAGUAUGACUCUACCUCCCCGCCCGCAAUGUGCUAACCUAUGUAAUGGGGAUAUUAAUUGCCACCCACCCGACUCACCUCUCUGGGCUGUUGUGAAGACCAGAUGAUAUAGCAGCUGAACACUUGCUUCCUGAAGCAUUGUUAGGAUGGGCUUAGAUUCCCCAAUGCUGUCUAAAGAAAAUCUUUUUUAGUUGACUAAAUGUAUUUCUCCUUUGAUAGAGGAGCCGAUGGCCCCGCGUUUGACAGUUGCUAUGAGUGAAGGUUUGUAUAGGAAGAAGCCGACAGUACUCAUGUGUUGAAAAAUUGUCUGGUUCUUUUUAAAGUACUCUUUGUCAGCACUGAAAGAGAGAAAGCAAAGAACAAAAAAUUCAACUCAAGCACAUCUGAGAGCCGCAGGUUAACGGCUGUCACAAUCCUGCUGCUAACCUUCUGAAAAGACAACGUCGGACCUGGAGUCGCCAGGAAAACACAGCUGGGCAAGACUGAAGGAGGGAGAAAACCUCAGGUCCUGGAGGGAAAACGAAAGGACAUGAUUGCAGUCAAUAGUGCGUUAAUGAGGUGGACUCUACUGUACACAUACAUACACCCACACACACACACACCCUAUACAUUGUAGAGAGAAUUUCACUCGGUGGGAAAGAAGGCUCAGAAAGAUGAGUUCAUAAGUCGUGAGUUCUGUCUGAUUCUCCACCAACCCCUAACCCCAGGAGUCUUCCAGUGGGCAUUCUCUUCAGAGAAAAACUAGAAUAGAUCAGAGCCUCUAAGAUGGUACAACCAGUAGCUUAUCAAUUAAGGUAUUGCUAAUUAAGUAAUAAUAAAUCAGUAAAUAGUUCAUUGAUAGCACAGGGAUUUGGGACAGUGAGCCUCAUUAAAUUGUAUGAGCUGUAUCAAGGCAGCCUCUUUACAGCAUCCCAGGAAAAAGUCACUCAGCCUGAGCUUGAAUACCUCCAGGGACAGUGAGCUCACUAGCCCCUUUUGGAAUUGGUAUUAUGGAAUGGCUGCCAGACAGUCCUUUCCCACACUGAGCACACGUUGGCGUCCAUGUUGCUUUUCUCCACUGGUCCUAGUUCUGCCAUUUGAGGGUCAUUAUUCCCUCAGGAAGGAACAAACAAGGUGGCACAGUGAAGGUUCCUGUGAAAUAUCUGCUCAGACAGUGCAAGAGGAGUUUCAGCAUCUCCCCUAUGUCAUUGGGUGGAGACACUAAGGCCCAGAGAAGGAAACAGAGUCACGGAAGUUUCCGCACAUGGCAUGCCAAGCGGUCUCCGCACCUGGGAUCCGAACCGGCAAACCCCGGGCCACCAAGAAGCAGAACGUGCGAACUUAACCGCUGUGCCACCAGUCUCCACUCUCAAGGAGCACACACUCCCCCAGAAAAACGAGAUGUGUUC